rnacentral:tRNA from 1 species
GGGGAAUUAGCUCAGUUGGUAGAGUGCCAGGAUCGCACCCUGGAGGUCAGGGGUUCGAAUCCCCUAUUCUCCA